UACGUAGGGUGCAAGCGUUGUCCGGAAUUAUUGGGCGUAAAGAGCUCGUAGGCGGUCUGUCGCGUCGGCUGUGAAAACCCGGAGCUCAACUCCGGGCCUGCAGUCGAUACGGGCAGACUGGAGUUCGGCAGGGGAGACUGGAAUUCCUGGUGUAGCGGUGAAAUGCGCAGAUAUCAGGAGGAACACCGGUGGCGAAGGCGGGUCUCUGGGACGAUACUGACGCUGAGGAGCGAAAGCGUGGGGAGCGAACAGG
rnacentral:rRNA from 1 species